GACGAACGCUGGCGGCGUGCUUAACACAUGCAAGUCGAACGGUGCCCCUCUUCGGAGGGGAUCAGUGGCGAAUGGGUGAGUAAAACGUGGGCAACCUGCCCCCGGCUCUGGGAUAACUCCAAGCUAUUGGGGCUAAUACCGGAUGUUCACCGCUUCCCGCAUGGGUGGUGGUGGCAAGGGUUUCCGGCUGGGGAUGGGCCCGAGGCCUAUCAGCUUGCUGGUGGGGUAGUGGGCUACCAAGGCGACGACGGGUAGCCGGCCUGAGAGGGACACCGGCCACACUGGGACGGAGACACGGCCCAGACUCCUACGGGAGGCAGCGGUGGAGAAUAGUACGCUAUGGGCUGAAGCCUGACGCGGCGACGCCGCGUGGGGGAUGACGUCCAGCGGGUAGGAAUCCUCUGCCAGCAGGGACGAAGCGCAAAUGACGGUACCGGCAGAAGAAGCACCGGCCAACUACGUG
rnacentral:rRNA from 1 species